UACGUAGGGUGCAAGCGUUGUCCGGAAUUAUUGGGCGUAAAGAGCUCGUAGGCGGUCUGUCGCGUCGGCUGUGAAAUCCCGAGGCUCAACCUCGGGUCUGCAGUCGAUACGGGCAAACUAGAGUAUUGCAGGGGAGACUGGAACUCCUGGUGUAGCGGUGGAAUGCGCAGAUAUCAGGAAGAACACCGGUGGCGAAGGCGGCUCUCUGGGCCUUACCUGACGCUGAGGAGCGAAAGCGUGGGGGAGCGAACAGG
rnacentral:rRNA from 1 species